CCUACGGGUGGCAGCAGUGGGGAAUAUUGCGCAAUGGGCGCAAGCCUGACGCAGCGACGCCGCGUGAGGGAUGAAGGUCUUAGGAUCGUAAACCUCUGUCAGCAGGGAAGAACGGUCACUGUGCUAAUCAGCAUUGAAUUGACGGUACCUGCAAAGGAAGCACCGGCUAACUCCGUGCCAGCAGCCGCGGUAAUACGGAGGGUGCGAGCGUUAAUCGGAAUUACUGGGCGUAAAGCGCGCGUAGGCGGUCUGUCAAGUCAAGGGUGAAAUCCCCGCGCUCAACGUGGGAACUGCAUUUGAAACUGGCAAACUUGAGUAUGUGAGAGGAUAGUGGAAUUCCAGGUGUAGGAGUGAAAUCCGUAGAUAUCUGGAAGAACAUCAGUGGCGAAGGCGACUAUCUGGCACAUAACUGACGCUGAGGAGCGAAAGCGUGGGUAGCAAACAGGAUUAGAUACCCGAGUAGUC
rnacentral:rRNA from 1 species